rnacentral:misc_RNA from 1 species
GCAAACUUGGUCAUUUAGAGGAAGUAAAAGUCGUAACAAGGUUUCCGUAGGUGAACCUGCGGAAGGAUCAUUAACAAAUUCAGUGGACUCGGUUGACCAGCUCAACCAGUUUACUAUCCAUCCGGGGGAGAGAGCAUCACUGCUCCCCUCCCUCGGCUCAUCAUCAUAUUACUACUCAUUGUCUAACAAUCAAUCCUAAUAAUAUUCACUUUUAACAAUGGAUCUCUUGGCUCUUGCAUCGAUGAAGAACGCAGC